rnacentral:rRNA from 1 species
ACACUCCUGCGGGAGGCAGCAGUGGGGAAUUUUGGACAAUGGGCGAAAGCCUGAUCCAGCCAUGCCGCGUGCAGGAUGAAGGCCUUCGGGUUGUAAACUGCUUUUGUACGGAACGAAACGGCCUUUUCUAAUAAAGAGGGCUAAUGACGGUACCGUAAGAAUAAGCACCGGCUAACUACGUGCCAGCAGCCGCGGUAAUACGUAGGGUGCAAGCGUUAAUCGAAAUUACUGGGCGUAAAGCGUGCGCAGGCGGUUAUGUAAGACAGUUGUGAAAUCCCCGGGCUCAACCUGGGAACUGCAUCUGUGACUGCAUAGCUAGAGUACGGUAGAGGGGGAUGGAAUUCCGCGUGUAGCAGUGAAAUGCGUAGAUAUGCGGAGGAACACCGAUGGCGAAGGCAAUCCCCUGGACCUGUACUGACGCUCAUGCACGAAAGCGUGGGGAGCAAACAGGAUUAGAAACCCGUGUAGUCCC